rnacentral:sRNA from 1 species
UACACGAUGCCGAAUUCGGGUCGUGGAGAUAAAGAACCUUGCUGAUUAUUUCAGGAGAUUUGACCAUGAGU